CCUUCCUUAAGGUGUUCAAGGGACAAGACCUUGCUUCUGCUGAUGUUGUUGCAUAAACUUGUUCAGCUGAAGUCUGUGAGGCCAGGGAAAGGAAAAGAAAGAUCUCUGGAAUGUGCCCCCAUUAAAAGGAGGCUGCACAACUGGAGCCCGUCUCAACUCGUGUGUUCGCAACUGAAACACCUCAACUUUCCAGAAGUCUCUAAAUGGACUGCUUUCAGUCGGAACAGUACACAGACAUUAUAAAACCUGCAAUUACUUUUACUGUAGGGCCAUAAAAUAUAGAUCUGUUAAAGUCUGGGUGCAGAACACAUGGACAUCCUACAGUUCCGACCAGCAUAGAUGAAAGUCUAUUAUGGAUGAUGAAAACAAGGUACUAGAAAACCCAUUAGAGCUAUUUGUUCCCACUUGCAAUGAUAGUCCCCAUAACCACAUUAAAUCAAAGCAUCUCUGGGACUUCAUUACAAAUUUCUUUUAUCGAUACCAUACACUGAUAUAAAUAACAGUGUAACAAAAUCAGAAGAAAUUACAUUGCAUUGUAUGAUUUAGGGAUCUGUGAUCAAUUAUUUAGCAUUUAUAUCAGAGAUGCACUUAAUGUUUUCAUUGGGCUGAGGCUCUGUAGUGUUAGGGACUGUGUACAUAUUGAGCUGACAGAAAUCACUAGUCCAGAGUGCUUUCACCAUUUAAACUGGGUUAAGGACAUAAGAGUGUAAAAUGAGAGAGGAAAAAUGAUUAAAAUCCUCUCUAGAUACCACCGCUCUGGGAUUGAAACUAUACUCAUAUCCAGUAAGAGAAUGAAAAGACAUGUGUGCUUUUGAACUCUAGGAAAGAGUAAAACCAGAGACCAACAGAAACCUGUGGUCACUAUGUGUAACAGCUCCUUCCCCGUACUCUGCAAAGCCUCUCCUUUUCUAAUAUGCUACCAAAAAAAAAAAAAAAAAAAUAAGACUGACUGGUGUCUCUUCUGGAAAUAACGAGGUUGAUCAAGAAUGAUUUGCAAAGAGAAGCAAGAAAAGCAUGUUUUUGUGGUAAAAACCAGAACAAUUCUUUCCACAAGGGCAUGUAGGGAUAGGACAAAGGACAAUGGCUUCUGAAACAGGAUAGAUAUAGAUUAGGUAUUAGGAAGAAAUUCUUUACUGUGAGGGUUGUGAAGCACUGGAACAGGCUGCCCAGAGAAGCUGUGGAUGCCCCAUCCCUGGAGAUGUUUAAGGACAGGGCUUGGAACAACCUGGUCUAGUGGAAGGUUUCCCUGCCCAUGGCAGGGGGCUUGGAACAAGAUGACUUUUAAGGUUCAUUCUAACCCAAACCAUUCUAUGAUUCUAUGAUUCUCUGAUUAAGAUGGUGGUUGUACUUUAAACAGGAGUCUGAAGGAAAUAUUAGCCUUGUUCUCCCUGAUCCACCAGGAGGUUUGUAUUCGAGUUUGCAGGCUCCAUAAGCUCAAAGCAUAAAAAGGAGAUAUGACUCAAACAUGCCAAUAAAGUUCAGAGAAAGUAAGGUGAACUCA
rnacentral:lncRNA from 1 species